UACGGAGGGGGCUAGCGUUGUUCGGAAUUACUGGGCGUAAAGCGCGCGUAGGCGGCUUUGUAAGUUAGAGGUGAAAGCCCGGAGCUCAACUCCGGAAUUGCCUUUAAGACUGCAUCACUAGAAUCAUGGAGAGGUGAGUGGAAUUCCGAGUGUAGAGGUGAAAUUCGUAGAUAUUCGGAAGAACACCAGUGGCGAAGGCGACUCACUGGACAUGUAUUGACGCUGAGGUGCGAAAGCGUGGGGAGCAAACAGG
rnacentral:rRNA from 1 species